rnacentral:rRNA from 1 species
CCUACGGGCGGCAGCAGUGAGGAAUAUUGGUCAAUGGACGAGAGUCUGAACCAGCCAAGUCGCGUGAAGGAUGACUGCCCUAUGGGUUGUAAACUUCUUUUAUAUGGGAAUAAAAUGUUCCACGUGUGGGUUUUUGUAUGUACCAUAUGAAUAAGGAACGGCUAACUCCGUGCCAGCAGCCGCGGUAAUACGGAGGAUCCGAGCGUUAUCCGGAUUUAUUGGGUUUAAAGGGAGCGUAGGUGGAUUGUUAAGUCAGUUGUGAAAGUUUGCGGCUCAACCGUAAAAUUGCAGUUGAAACUGGCAGUCUUGAGUACAGUAGAGGUGGGCGGAAUUCGUAGUGUAGCGGUGAAAUGCUUAGAUAUCACGAAGAACUCCGAUUGCGAAGGCAGCUCACUGGACUGCAACUGACACUGAGGCUCGAAAGUGUGGGUAUCAAACAGGAUUAGAUACCCGAGUAGUC